AUUGAACGCUGGCGGCAUGCCUAACACAUGCAAGUCGAGCGGAGUGGCGGACGGGUGAGUAAUGCCUGGGAAUCUGCCUGGUAGUGGGGGAUAACGUCCGGAAACGGGCGCUAAUACCGCAUACUUUCAGAUGAGCCUAGGUCGGAUUAGCUAGUUGGGGGGGUAAAGUCCUACCAGGGCGCCGAUCCGUAACUGGCCUGAGAGGAUGAUCAGUCACACUGGAACUGAGACACGGUCCGGACUCCUACGGGAGGCAGCAGUGGGGAAUCUUCGGCAAUGGGCGAAAGCCGGAUCCAGCCAUGCCGCGUGUGUGAAUAAGGUCUUCGGAUUGUAAGACACUUUAAUUUGGGAGGCGGUACCGAAACAGUAAGCCACGGCUAACUUCGUGCCAGCAGCCGCGGUAAUAC
rnacentral:rRNA from 1 species